GACGAACGCUGGCGGCGUGCCUAAUACAUGCAAGUAGAACGCUGAAGGAGGAGCUUGCUUCUCUGGAUGAGUUUCGAACGGGUGAGUAACGCGUAGGUAACCUGCCUGGUAGCGGGGGAUAACUCUUGGAAACGAUAGCUAAUACCGCAUAAUAUUUACUAUUGCAUGAUAUUCAGUUGAAAGGUGCAACUGUACCACUACCAGAUGGACCUGCGUUGUCUUAGCUAGUUGGUGGGGUAACGGCUCACCACGGCGACGAAACAUAGCCGACCUGGGGGGGGAAUCGGCAAAACUGAAACGGAGACAGGGCCCAGAUUCCAAGGGGAGGCAGCAGAGGGGAAUCUUCGGAAAGGGACGAAAGUCUAACCGAGAAACGCCGCGGGAGUGAAGAGAGUUUUCGGAUCGAAAAGCUCUGUUGUAAGAAGAAAGAGUGUGAGAGUGGAAAGCUCACACUGUGACGGUAGCUUACCAGAAAGGGACGGCUAACUACGUG
rnacentral:rRNA from 1 species